GGUUAAGGAAGAGAAGGCACGCAGUGGAUGCCUUGGCACUAAGCACCGAUGAAGGACGCAACUAACGGCGAAACGCCACGGGGAGCAGUAAGUACGC
rnacentral:rRNA from 1 species